rnacentral:misc_RNA from 1 species
GAGACCGAGAUAAUUUGGUUUGUCAAAUCUCACAAAUCUUAAGCAAAACCCUUUCGUCGUCCUUCUCUCUCCUUCUCUGAUUAAUGGCCGUCUCAUCGUCUUCUAUUUCCUCCCACACAUCCGAUUCGGCCUCAUCGUCGGACUCAUCCUCGUCUCGGUACCGUCGCCGUCACCGCAACCGCCGAGACAGGGACAGAAAUAAAGAGGCUCUUAAGAUCCGGAAGAAGAGUAGUAAGUCCAACUCCAAACGAUGCCGUAAACGCCACCACUCCUCGGAUUCUUAUGAUUCCUCCUCUGAUUCUUACUACUCAAGGAGUGACAGUUCAUCUGACAGUGAGCAUGAAACAUCAAAUCAUUCAAAGAGGCACAAGAAAAAGGACAGACCUAAGAAGGUGGUUGUUUAAUAAUAGGGUUUUAAUCUCUUCUCUGCUUGCUUAUCGGUCUCAUGUCAUUGUUCAUUUGCUUUCUAGACCAAGGAAAAGGACCGAAGUAAGAGUCAUCGCCAUAAACGUCAGAAGCACAAAGUUAAGGAGGUAGGCCACUGUUUUUCCACAUAGCCUUGUUUGCACAUGAUUGUUUGAUUAAAAUGUCCUCAGUAUCUCCUGGUGUCAUUUUUCUGUAUUUUUACAACACUCAGACCAUCUGACUUCAUUUUAUUUCCUCUAAACUAUUGAAUGGUAACUUUAUGUUCACAAAUUGCUUUAUUUUUCAUGUACUUGAAAGUAGUGAAUAUUUUGAGUUACUCAGGCAUUUUGUAGUCUAGAUUUGAUUUUAAAUGGUUUGAAAAUAAAUGCAAAACCAAUUUAUUAAUAUCUGAGGUACUUAUAAUACAAUCUGCCUAUCUUAUGGUUGGCUCUUUGAAAAUUGGAGCUGGGGUCUGUGACAUGAUGUCUGGGUGGUUGCUUGGUUGACUUGCCUGGAUUUUGUUUCUGGCUCGGGUUUGUCCUGGCAAUGGGAGCCAUAUAUAGAAGCAGCAGGAUGAGAGAAGUGGUAGCCCUGUACAGCUUUCUAAGUUUUUAGGGCGUGACAAGGACGAUGGUGUGCGUCGCAGCGCAGUUUCGGGGAAAAAGAUCUUAUUGAAACUUGAGAAAUCAAAGGAGGACAAGGAGGCAGAAAGUAAAAGGAAUGAAUUGCUGAAAUUCUUGAAUGCUAGUUUUGAUUGAUUUAGAGGAGCUCUACAACAAGAUUCUAAGAUCAACUGGUGAAUCAUCAGAAUCAUCUUGUGCUUCUCAGCUAAAAGAUCCAAUGUGUGUUGUGAGAGAAGAUUUUCUAGAAGAUUCAUAUCACAAGUUUAUCCUGUAUGGAGUCCUAUUUAUCAUGAAAAAUAUAAACACUGUUAAAUUAGAGUCGUCAGCCGUUGUGACAUGUGAGAAUUAGCAAGACUCACUAUUGGUGUGACAUUGUAUCAAUUUGAUGCUUAUUUAAACAUUACUCUUUGAUGAAUUACGUGACUUUGAUUAUUCAAGCUUUGAAGUGUCAAUUGUGAGCCUUGGC